UUUGGAGGGCAAGUCUGGUGCCAGCAGCCGCGGUAAUUCCAGCUCCAAUAGCGUAUAUUAAAGUUGCUGCAGUUAAAAAGCUCGUAGUUGAAUUUCGGGACCGAUAUAUCGGUCGUGCCUCGGUACGUACCGGUAUUUUCAGUUUCUCCCUUCUGACGAACCUUGAUGUCAUUAAUUUGGUGUCUUGGGGAAUCAGGACUGUUACUUUGAAAAAAUUAGAGUGUUUAAAGCAGGCUCACGCUUGAAUACAUUAGCAUGGAAUAAUGAAAUAGGACGUUUGAUUCUAUUUUGUUGGUUUCUAGGAUCGACGUAAUGAUUAAUAGGGAUAGUUGGGGGCAUUAGUAUUCAAUUGUCAGAGGUGAAAUUCUUGGAUUUAUUGAAGACUAACUACUGCGAAAGCAUUUGCCAAGGAUGUUUUCAUUAAUCAAGAACGAAAGUUAGGGGAUCGAAGACGAUCAGAUACCGUCGUAGUCUUAACCAUAAACUAUGCCGACUAGGGAUCGGAUGAUGUUAAUUUUUUAAUGACUCAUUCGGCGCCUUACGGGAAACAA
rnacentral:rRNA from 1 species